CCCUCCUUGUUUUGGAUGGAAUUUCUAGCUGGAGAGAGAGGCAACUCCUGCAAGAAUCAAUACUUUGGUGAUGAGGGAAUUAUGCUGAAAUGAAUCAUAACCAGCUUAAAUAUCUGCUCUGCCUGACUUGGAACAGGGAACUUUAACCUAGAUUCCCAUACCAGAGCUGAGUCCCUUAACUCUCAGCUGUUGGCUAUAUUGGGAGAGAUGUCUUUCUUUGAAGCAGAACCUCCUUGGAAGAGGAGAGAAAAGAGGAUUACCCAAACUGAUGGGGAAGUGAUGUGGCAGAUUCAGAAGACUUGCAUCUGGCUCUGAUGCAUCCCAGCAAGAGAUCAAGAGUUCCAGUGACUUCCUGCCUCCCUACCAACUCCCACUGCCUCAGGUUCUCGUCUGCUCCUCAGGCUCUGCCGGGCACCAGCCGCUAAAGCAGCAUUAUGGAACUCCUAAGCCCUACAGCUUUCUUCCUCCCAGGGACACCCAUGUUGCUGUUUUAUCUGGCACAAGGGGACAACCAUCUGGACAUGGACAUCAGCAUGCCAACUGACGUCCAUAACUCUCCCAGAAUGCAGAAGCUUCCUGCAUAACACUUGGCAGCUCUGGAGCAUGCAGACAUUUUUUUCAUCACUUCAUCUAGUCUUCAGGAAAAUAAACAGAAGGAAUGAAGCAAAUGACAGAGUGUAUGAAUUUUUAAAUCAUUUCAGCUUUGUCUAAAAUAAUAAAAUACAUCUGUGGCAGACAGCAAAGACCCACAAAACUUCGCUAUACAUAUGCAAGAAUGCAUGUUACUGGUAAUGACUAAAGACCAUAAGGGAACUUACCUCCUUUGUACAGCAGUUUGAAAUCCAUGGGGAAAAAAGUGCUGUAUUAAAUCUAGCACCCGGUUAAAGCACUAUUCCCUCAACUCCAAUGACUGUAUGCCUGACUACAGUAUUCAGGAGAGCUGUCUGUAUCUUCAUCAGCAGAGCAGCUGCUGACUGCAACCUGAGCUUCCUCCUAGCAGGGGGAGCUUCUCUGCAGUUUGUCCAGCAUUGAAAGCAUCACAUUUGUUUGGGAAGCUACUGGAGCUGCUGAGGAGCAAGAAGCCACCUGGAGCUAAAACUACCUGAUGGCCAGAUGAAGGAACUGAAACAGAGAGAAGUGGCUUCCCAAAUUCACACUCUAAACUCAUCCUCAUUGAACUUGCUGUGAAGAAGUAUGUUGGUGAAAGUCACAGGUGUGAAGACUGCAAGGGUGAUCCUGAAUCGCAAGUAGGAAGAAGGAAUUCAUUAGCUAAAUCAACUUCUUGGCAUGUUGCAAGCUACAGUCAUCGUGGUUCUCAUUAAGGACUGCCUUCCUUCUAAAAUUGACAUGGAAUACCAAAUGGAUGGACGGCUCUUCAAUCUGGGAUGUUUUCAGAUGAAGACCAAAGUACUCAAAACAACCAACCUUGACUUUCAGUAUGAUGGCAACUGUGCCAUUCUUGUGCACAUGGAAAAAACCCUCCAAACUUCACUGGAUCUUUUCAGAGAAGCCUAUCAAACUUUGGGCCUCUUUCUCAACAUCAAGAAGACUAAAGUGCUCUAUUAGCCUGCCCCAGGUCAUGAAUGUGACCUCACUUUCCCCCCACAAAAUUACUGUCAAGGGAAAGACCCUGGAGGUAGUUGAGCACUUCCCCUACCUUAGUAGCUACUUCUCUUGGAGGGUGAACAUUGAUGAGGAUAUACAGCACAGGAUCUGAUGUGCAAGUGUCUCCUUUGGAAAAUUGCUUUGGUAUGUCUUUAUUCAUUACAGUCUUUGGAAAGACACCAGCAUUCAGGUCUACAAUGCAGUUGUCAUCCCGCCUAUCCUCUACAGAUGUCAUCACUGGUAGCAGCAGCAAUCCCUCAUGGUCAAGGAUGAUCACUCCCACGGGUCAAGUGAAAUGUGUGUAAAAUGUGGGUGACCUAUUGUCAUCAUCUUAAGAGCCUGGAAAAGCAUCACCAAGAAUGCCUCCAGAAAAUUCUCCACAUCAAAUGGGAAAAUCACUGCGUAAAUGCCAGCGUUAUUGCUGACCCCACUGUUACCAACAUUGAGUCGGUGAUCUUAAAGCACCAACUUCGCUGGGCUGGACACUGUGUGCGGAUGCCUGACUCCCAACUCCUAAAAUAAGUGUUCUAUUCCCAGCUUAGUAAUAGCCCGAGAUCUUGCAGCAGCCAGAAGAAAUGCUACAAGAGCAUAUUGAAGGUAUACUUCAAGAAAACAGAUGCCAACAUUAAGGGCUGGGAGGAGCUGACUGUCGACUGAUUCCAGUGGCACUGCAACCUCAACCAAGCAGCCGUCUGUUUCAAGAAGACUUUCAACUUCUGCAGACAGGUCUGUGGCUCAAGGAUUGGACUCUUAAGUCACCUCAAGACCCAUCAAUGAGCAGCGGUAGAGAUCAUCCUUGAAUCAAGGGAUUGUUGAUGACAACCUACUGGGGAGUCUCAGGUCAAUAAAAGUCUCUGUAUCACAUUCUUAACCCUUGAGCCAUGGACUCCCAUAUAAAUUAUUGUUGGGUUUUUUCAGCUUUUUCUGGCAAUAAAAAAUCAGCACAAGAGCUGUAUCUUUGGGCAUUGUCACUAAAAUUCUAGAGCUUCCUUUUCUUUUCUAAAAAACGUCCAGUGCCCCAAAAGUAAUCAGAUAAAUGAGACUCUUUAAUGGCUGAUGAUUGGAGGAAAGCUUUGCUGAUUAAAGACCAAAACUGAUGGAGUAUCAAUCACUGUUCUUUUUGAUUAAGUACCAUACUAAUCUCUGUCACUGUGUAAUGACUAUCCUGGCAAACAGAGUCUGAUUGCUGCAGGCAAAUCAUUUACAUUAAUCAAAUAAAGUAAGAAAGAUAGCGAUGUACUUUACUGUUCAAGACAAGAUGCUGGAUGUCUCAUUGCUAAAGAAGCAGACUGGACCACAUGUCCUUUUUGCGUUAAAGGCCUCUUUAAGUAGA